rnacentral:rRNA from 1 species
CCUACGGGAGGCAGCAGUGGGGGAUAUUGGACAAUGGGGGGAACCCUGAUCCAGCGACGCCGCGUGAGUGAAGAAGUAUCUCGGUAUGUAAAGCUCUAUCAGCAGGGAAGAAGAAAUGACGGUACCUGAGUAAGAAGCCCCGGCUAACUACGUGCCAGCAGCCGCGGUAAUACGUAGGGGGCAAGCGUUAUCCGGAAUUACUGGGUGUAAAGGGAGCGUAGACGGUGAUGUAAGUCUGGAGUGAAAGGCGGGGGCCCAACCCCCGGACUGCUCUGGAAACUAUGUGACUGGAGUGCAGGAGAGGUGAGCGGAAUUCCUAGUGUAGCGGUGAAAUGCGUAGAUAUUAGGAGGAACACCAGUGGCGAAGGCGGCUCACUGGACUGUAACUGACGUUGAGGCUCGAAAGCGUGGGGAGCAAACAGGAUUAGAUACCCUUGUA